rnacentral:lncRNA from 1 species
UCAAGUCGAAGUGGAAGUUCCGAAAGCCCUGUGGAGUCAAGGGAUAAAAGAAGUGAGUCUUUUAAGUGGAUAAGUGAUCAUCCCUUUCUUUUAAGUCAGCUAAUGAAACCAACCUUGGAGUUCCAGCUAUAAGUGAAGUUCAAGCAGGCGGAUCACAUAAUCGUUCUUGUUUCGUUAGUGAGUACCGGGACUCUAUUCAAGUU